GCAGUCGUGGCCGAGUGGUUAAGGCGAUAAACUAGUAUUUCAUUGGGGUCUCCCCGCACAUGUUCGAAUCCUGUCGGCUGCG